rnacentral:rRNA from 1 species
UGGGGAAUAUUGGACAAUGGGCGAAAGCCUGAUCCAGCCAUGCCGCGUGUGUGAAGAAGGUCUUCGGAUUGUAAAGCACUUUAAGUUGGGAGGAAGGGCAGUAAGCGAAUACCUUGCUGUUUUGACGUUACCGACAGAAUAAGCACCGGCUAACUCUGUGCCAGCAGCCGCGGUAAUACAGAGGGUGCAAGCGUUAAUCGGAAUUACUGGGCGUAAAGCGCGCGUAGGUGGUUCGUUAAGUUGAAUGUGAAAGCCCCGGGCUCAACCUGGGAACUGCAGCCAAAACUGGCGAGCUAGAGUAGGGCAGAGGGUGGUGGAAUUUCCUGUGUAGCGGUGAAAUGCGUAGAUAUAGGAAGGAACACCAGUGGCGAAGGCGACCACCUGGGCGCAUACUGACACUGAGGUGCGAAAGCGUGGGGAGCAAACAGG